AUGCGUUUGUCGCCGCCGGUCCCUUUGCUUUUGGGACUCCUCCUUCUGCAAGGCGUCUUGAGGCCGCUAAGGGGAGAUCUGGUUUUCAUUCCUUCUGUCAUCCGCAUGUCCGGCCCUGUGGUCAGCGCGUCUCUGGUCGGAGGCACCGAGGAUGUGACUGUGUCCCUGACCCAGCUGCGGGACGAGAUGGGUUUAUUGCCAGUUCCUACCUGUGGCGAGCUGAACAAUGAGACAGGAGACUGGAGUUUGACUGUCACCCGGACUGUGAAUUCGUUGGAAGUGACCGUGAGGUUGAAGAGGGAUCUGCAGUCAUGUUCCUCUAAUGAGACAGAUCCCUUCCUGGAGGCCCCGUGUAUUGUCCAAACUCUUCUUGUUUCAGCCUUUCGUAAUACAUCCUGUUUAGCACAUCUGCUCAUUCAUGUGGAAAUUUAUGCCAACUCCUCUCUGGGCCAAAAUGCAUCAGAAAAUGUGACUGUCAUUCCUAACCAGGUGUAUCAGCCCCUUGGUCCUUGCCCUUGCAAUUUGACAGCGGAGGCCUGUGACAUUCGCUGCUGCUGUGACCAGGAAUGCUCAUCAGAUUUAACAGCACUGUUCAGGGAGUCCUGUUUCCCUGGUGUUUUCGGAGGAGAUGUUAAUCCUCCCUUUGAUCAGCUCUGCUCCGUGCAGAUGGCACAUGGAGUCUCCGACUGGUUUCCAUUCCUGUGUGUGCAGCUCGCCAACUCACCCUUCCUCGGGUACUUCUACCAUGGUUCCAUUUCCUCUGGACAUCAAGUUUCCUUUGACAUGUACUUGCAUACUGAUCUAAAAGACUUUUCAGACUUUGGUUACAAACAAGGAGACCCCGUUAUGACAGUAGAUAAGGCAUAUUUUACUAUUCCGCAGGCGUCCCUGGCUGGGCAGUGCGUGCACAAUGCUCCUGUGGCCUUCCUGCAAAAUUUUGAUGUUCAGUGUGUUACUAGCCUGGAGGAGUACCUAGAACGAGAUGGAAUUACCAGUGCAAAGAUAAAGAAUGGUGCUAUGGGAGGCAUAGUUACACCGAAAGUAAUCUAUGAGGAAGCAACUGACUUAGACAGAUUCAUCACCAAUACAGAAACACUUUUAAGUACUGGACCAGCCCCCAGGAACGUGAACGUGGAAGAACAUUAUAUUUUCAGGUGGAAUAAUAAUACAAUCAGUGAAAUAAACGUCAGAAUUAUUAGGGCAGAAAUUAAUGCCCAGCAGAAAGGAAUCAUGACACAGAGAUUUACAGUGAAAUUUUUAAGCUAUAACAGUGGUAAUGAACAGGAAUGGUCUGGAAACCCAGGUUACCAACUUGGCAAGCCUGUUCGAGCUCUAAGCACCAAUGGGACGAAUAAUGUCACAACUUUACACCUUUGGUAUUCUGCCGGAAGGAGUUUGUGUUCAACAGCAACUGUCAAACCCAUUUUAUUUGGAGAAAAUGCACUCUCUGGGUGCCUUUUAGAAGUUGGAAUUAAUGAAAACUGUACUAGGCUUAGGGAGAAUGCUGUCGAACUGCUUGAUUCAUUAGUACAAGUGACUCAUGUUGCAAUGAGAGGCAACUCCGAUUACAACGAUCUCAGUGAUGGCUGGCUUGAAAUAAUACGUGCGGAUGCCCUUGAUGCAGGUGCAGACCCACCCGACAGCAACGUGAGUGGCAUCUGCCUGGAUGUUCCUGCGCAGCUGAACAUCCGCAUCCUCUUCUCGGAUGCUGGCGCCGUGGAAGGGAUGACUCAGCAGGAGAUACUUGGCGUCGAGACGAGGUUCUCCUCCGUGACCUGGCAGUUCCAGUGUGGACUGACUUGUGAGGACAAGGCUGACCUCUUCCCCAUCGGCGCAUCGGUCCAGUUUAUUAAGAUACCCGCACAGUUACCCCGUCCCCUUACAAGAUUCCAGAUCAAUUUUACAGAGUACGACUGUAACAGAAAUGAGGUUUGUUGGCCACAACUUCUGUAUCCACUGACCCAAUAUUAUCGAGGAGAGCCUUACUCUCAGUGUGUUGCCAAGAGCUUACUACUGGUAUCUUUCAUCGUAUUAGCUGUAUUCCUCAGUAACCCCUGGAUCAGAAUACACAAAGCUUAGAAUUCAACUACCGUCUGACUUCUUACAGAUCAUCAGCUUCUACGUCAGGGAUUUGUUGUCCUCCUGUGUGCCUCUCUGUAAAAUCUUAAUAAAUGAAAUAUUUUAUUUUUAUAGAAAAUUUUAUUAAAUGCUCCACAAAUUAAAUUCACAUAUGUAGCUAUCCAGACGUUCAAAGCAAUUCAGAGUGGGUGUUCUCACCGAUGCACCAGAGUGAGCAAAAUGCAUGAGAGGGUCAACUGUGUCAAUAAGUGUAAUUAGGAACUUAUUAUAGAUAAGUUUCAUCACAGAUUAUGAAAGUCAUAGGAGUUUUGGUCCAAAUGUUAUUCCUACCAUAGAGAGUCAGUCUUUGAAUUUUUUAUGUAUUUCUGUUGCAAUGAUAAGUUUCCACUAUUCCAAAGAAAGGAUUAGAAAUGCAUUAAAGUCUAUUGCCUUAAAAUAUA
rnacentral:lncRNA from 1 species